UCUGCCAUCAGGUCUGGGACAACCACUGGAAACGGUGGCUAAUACCGGAUGUGCCCUUCGGGGUGAAAGGUUAACUGCCUGUUGAUGAGCUCGCGUCUGAUUAGCUGGUUGGUGUGGUAAGAGCGCACCAAGGCGACGAUCAGUAGCUGGUCUGAGAGGACGAUCAGCCACACUGGGACUGAGACACGGCCCAGACUCCUACGGGAGGCAGCAGUGGGGAAUUUUCCGCAAUGGGCGAAAGCCUGACGGAGCAAUACCGCGUGAGGGAGGAAGGCUCUUGGGUCGUAAACCUCUUUUCUCAGGGAAGAACACAAUGACGGUACCUGAGGAAUAAGCAUCGGCUAACUCCGUGCCAGCAGCCGCGGUAAUACGGAGGAUGCAAGCGUUAUCCGGAAUGAUUGGGCGUAAAGCGUCCGCAGGUGGCUAUGUAAGUCUGCUGUUAAAGAGUCUAGCUCAACUAGAUAAGAGCAGUGGAAACUACAAGGCUAGAGUGCGUUCGGGGCAGAGGGAAUUCCUGGUGUAGCGGUGAAAUGCGUAGAGAUCAGGAAGAACACCAGUGGCGAAGGCGCUCUGCUAGGCCGCAACUGACACUGAGGGACGAAAGC
rnacentral:rRNA from 1 species